UUCAAACCUGCCUGGAGGGCCAGAAGUUUCUCCAUUUCUGAGGCCACACAUCUCCUCUGCUUCCCAGCUCCACCCAGGGAAGCCAGGUCCCUUGGUUCGGGAAGGGCUGCAGUCAAUAAUCUAGAUCGUCUUCCCAAGCUCAGUCCGGCCCUGUGCCAGGGUGGCAAAGCCAGGAGCUGCAGAGGACUCGGGGGGAGCCGCCCCUCCGUCAGGCGAGUGCCAACAUGCUCUGCAGCAGCUUCCCAGGGGGUUGCUGGGAGCUGGGUUUCCUGCCAGCCCCUCAGCCCUCCCUUAGCCCAAUUUCCAACUGGCUGGCUGGGCCAGGGCAGCCUGGGCACUUAACACACUGAGGACUACUGCAGCUCCUACUCUCAAUCAAUACUCAAUGCUACAAUUGUUAUUAAUUCAUAUUCCGGAGGGGGGUUCAUUCUAAUAGGAAACUCCCAAGAGCUGCAGGGAGGCACUGCCAGGAGGCACUCAUAUUUUUCAUAUUUUAUAUUUGUUCAUUCUCACUGCUGCCUGAGGGUGGCAUUGCAACUGUGACUUCACAGGUGGGGAAACUGAGGCCCUGCCUGAUUAAAGUUCUAUGGUAAGGAGGGGGCAGAUGGAGGAACCAGGAGUCUACCUGACUCCAGGUGCUGUGUUCUUUCUUCCUCCCCUCUCUGCUCCAUCAGAAAUCCCAAAGGAGCUCAAAGCAUUCAGUUGCAUGGGUGGAUUAUCAGAUAACGGAACCGGUGGAAGAGGAGAGCUUUGGGGUGGGGACUUUUCUGGGGCCUGUCCCACCUCCAGCCCCAGGUCUUAUUAGGCAGUCAGCUGGCCCAUACACCCGGAGAGACAAAUAGAUGGACAGCUGCAGGAGCAACUGGUUCCUCUGCACGUCGUGGGUGCUACUGGAGUAGUCCAAGCAGUGCAGAGAACCAGGACUGGCUCACUGAGUCCCCUCUCUCCAGGCCCGGAGACAGGGAUAUGAUUAAUCAGCGACAAAAGCAGAAACAAGUAGAAAAAUGUAAUCAGCUUGGGAAGGGCAGGGCCGGGCAGGGCUGUGGCAAUCAGCUUUCCUGCUGGGGCCUUUGGCUGAUUG